ACCAUUUUUAUUUUGAGUUUCAUUGCUAUAAAAUAUAUGUGAAGACAUGGAUUAGGUUCUUGAAAUGCAUGUUUAUGAAUUGGGUUGGAUUUAUGAUGUUUUGGUUAAGUUUCUUAUUUAUUAGGAACUCUAAUGCAUGCUAUGAUUGUUGGAAAGCUUAGAUUGAAUUUUGUAUAUGUGAAUUCAAGUUUUAUCUUAGGUUUUUGAUGCUGAAAUAUGAGGUUAAAAGCAUGCUUUGAUGUUCAAGCUUUUGGGUAUGGAAUUUUGUUGUGUUUUUGCUCAAGCUUUGGAGCUUUAGUUGGAUGUUGUUGAUUAAUGUUGGAAUUGAUGUUAUUAGCUCUCUAUUGUGGUGAUUUUUUAUCUGUAAGAAGUUAAUUUUGGGUAUGUUUUGGUUGAGGCUCGAAUUAUGGACAAGAUGGCAUGUUUAGACCUUAAAAAUGGAGUUUUUUUGGUGUUCUGAACCCAAUCGUCGCGAUGGGAUUUUUGGCCGUCGCGACUGGGUUUGGCAGUGAGAAAUUUUGUUUUUCUCAAUUUUGUUUUGGCCAUAACUUUUGACUCGGGACUCAGUUUGGGACGUUCUAUAUAUCGUUGGAAAGCUCGUUCCGAGCUCUAUUUGAUUAUCUGUGUUUUGAAUGCCAUGUUUAUAUUUUGUGAAAGUGAAAUUGCAGAUUAACCCUAUUUUUGAAAUCCCAGAUUGUGUGACUAGGAUUACCGGCACCUAAUCAGGAGCACCCAGGGGUUUGAAUCUCUGCCAUUGCGGGACAACAGGAAAGGGUAAGACUGUCGUUGAUCAGCCAUGAGUGCAGGAGCUGGACGAAGAAUGUACAUGUCCGGGCCAUAUCAGACCAAGCGGGUUAAGGGUCUACCAGUGUUGAAUUUUUGAAACUCUUUUUUGCCGCUUAGGCCGACUAACUGAAAGAGACUUGUAAUAAAGUUUGUAAAUAUUUUCGGGAUCCCAACUGUUGUAAAGUUUAAAUUAUUAAAAGUUUUAUUUUCACUCCA